GUGAGGAAUAUUGGUCAAUGGGCGGAAGCCUGAACCAGCCAAGUAGCGUGCAGGAUGACGGCCCUAUGGGUUGUAAACUGCUUUUAUACGGGAAUAAAGUUAGCCACGUGUGGUUAUUUGUAGGUACCGUAUGAAUAAGGACCGGCUAAUUCCGUGCCAGCAGCCGCGGUAAUACGGAAGGUCCAGGCGUUAUCCGGAUUUAUUGGGGUUAAAGGGAGCGUAGGCCGUCUGUUAAGCGUGUUGUGAAAUGUAGAUGCUCAACAUCUGAAUUGCAGCGCGAACUGGCAGACUUGAGUGUGCGCAACGUAGGCGGAAUUCGUGGUGUAGCGGUGAAAUGCUUAGAUAUCACGAAGAACUCCGAUUGCGAAGGCAGCUUACUGUAGCGCCACUGACGCUGAAGCUCGAAAGUGCGGGUAUCGAACAGGAUUAGAUACCCUGGUAGUCC
rnacentral:rRNA from 1 species